GGGUGGAUGCGUGGGACCUGAUCUGGUAGUAGCCAAGCGAUGGGGUGACGCAGGAAGGUAGCUGGGCCAGUCAGUGGUUGUACUGGUGUAAGCCUGUAGGGCGAACGGUAGGCAAAUCCGCCGUUCAUCAAGCCUGAGAGGUGAUGCGUAGCCGAUUGAGGCGAAUUCAGUGAUCCUAUGCUGCCGAGAAAAGCCUCUAGUGAGUUGUUACACGGCCCGUACCCCAAACCGACACAGGUGGUCAGGUAGAGAAUACUAAGGCGAUCGAGAUAACUAUGGUUAAGGAACUCGGCAAAAUGCCCCCGUAACUUCGGGAGAAGGGGGGCCCCUGCCGGUGAUCACUCUUGCAGUGUGAGCUGGUGUGGGCCGCAGAGACCAGUGAGAAGCGACUGUUUACUAAAAACACAGGUCCGUGCGAAGUCGUAAGACGAUGUAUACGGACUGACGCCUGCCCGGUGCUGGAAGGUUAAGAGGACCGGUUAGCCAGCAAUGGCGAAGCUGAGAAUUUAAGCCCCAGUAAACGGCGGUGGUAACUAUAACCAUCCUAAGGUAGCGAAAUUCCUUGUCGGGUAAGUUCCGACCUGCACGAAUGGCGUAACGACUUCUCAGCUGUCUCAACCAUAGACUCGGCGAAAUUGCAUUACGAGUAAAGAUGCUCGUUACGCGCGGCAGGACGAAAAGACCCCGGGACCUUCACUACAGCUUGGUAUUGGUGUUCGGUUCGGUUUGUGUAGGAUAGGUGGGAGACUGUGAAGCGGUGACGCCAGUUACUGUGGAGUCGUUGUUGAAAUACCACUCUGAUCGUAUUGGAUACCUCAACCUCGGACCAUGAUCUGGUUCAGGGACAGUGCCUGGUGGGUAGUUUAACUGGGGCGGUUGCCUCCUAAAAUGUAACGGAGGCGCCCAAAGGUUCCCUCAGCCUGGUUGGCAAUCAGGUGUCGAGUGCAAGUGCACAAGGGAGCUUGACUGUGAGACUGACAAGUCGAGCAGGGACGAAAGUCGGGACUAGUGAUCCGGCACCGGCAAGUGGAAGCGGUGUCGCUCAACGGAUAAAAGGUACCCCGGGGAUAACAGGCUGAUCUUCCCCAAGAGUCCAUAUCGACGGGAUGGUUUGGCACCUCGAUGUCGGCUCGUCGCAUCCUGGGGCUGGAGUAGGUCCCAAGGGUUGGGCUGUUCGCCCAUUAAAGCGGCACGCGAGCUGGGUUUAGAACGUCGUGAGACAGUUCGGUCUCUAUCCGCCGCGCGCGUAAGAAACUUGAGGAAGGCUGUCCCUAGUACGAGAGGACCGGGACGGACGAACCUCUGGUGUGCCAGUUGUUCCACCAGGAGCACCGCUGGUUGGCUACGUUCGGAAGGGAUAACCGCUGAAAGCAUCUAAGCGGGAAGCCUGUUCCAAGAUGAGGUUUCUCACCCCCUCGAGGGGGUAAGGCCCCCGGCAGACCACCGGGUUGAUAGGCCAGAACUGGAAGUACAGCAAUGUAUGGAGGUGACUGGUACUAAUAGGCCGAGGACUUACCACAA
rnacentral:rRNA from 1 species